GGCUACCACAUCCAAGGAAGGCAGCAGGCGCGCAAAUUACCCACUCCCGGCACGGGGAGGUAGUGACGAAAAAUAACGAUACGGGACUCAUCCGAGGCCCCGUAAUCGGAAUGAGUACACUCUAAACCCUUUAACGAGGAUCAAUUGGAGGGCAAGUCUGGUGCCAGCAGCCGCGGUAAUUCCAGCUCCAAUAGCGUAUAUUAAAGUUGUUGCGGUUAAAAAGCUCGUAGUCGAAUCUGUGUCUUGUGCCGCCGGUGCAUCGCUCGCGGUGUUUAACUGGCGUGUCCGCGAGACGUCCUGCCGGUGGGCUUAGCCUGGCAACGGGCGGCCCAACUUGAAAUCCCACCGCGGUGCUCUUGAUUGAGUGUCGAGGUGGGCCGGCACGUUUACUUUGAACAAAUUAGAGUGCUUAAAGCAGGCUAAAACUUCGCCUGAAUACUGUGUGCAUGGAAUAAUGGAAUAGGACCUCGGUUCUAUUUUGUUGGUUUUCGGAACCCCGAGGUAAUGAUUAAUAGGAACGGAUGGGGGCAUUCGUAUUGCGACGUUAGAGGUGAAAUUCUUGGAUCGUCGCAAGACGGACAGAAGCGAAAGCAUUUGCCAAAAACGCUUUCAUUGAUCAAGAACGAAAGUUAGAGGUUCGAAGGCGAUCAGAUACCGCCCUAGUUCUAACCAUAAACGAUGCCAGCUAGCGAUCCGCCGACGUUCCUCCGAUGACUCGGCGGGCAGCUUCCGGGAAACCAAAGCUUUUGGGUUCCGGGGGAAGUAUG
rnacentral:rRNA from 1 species